UUGCUUUUUUGUGUGGGUGGGGAUGGGUAUUCGCAUACACAUCACGUGACAGGGAUAUGAAAUUAGUAAUAAAAAGAUAUGUCGCAUUACUGAUGCAUAUUUCUGUCGCUCGAUGUUUACGAGUGGAACAAAUGCCGGUAAACCGACUUCCUUAUAUCGCACGCCCGGUAGAAAUACACCCAGGCGACAUAUUUGAAAGGAGUUGUUCACAUUGAGAGAAGCCUGAUUUCUUAUUUCCCGGCAACCUUAAUCUCAGGGGUAUCGGGCCAGCUGUGCCGGGUAUACGUCGCGUCAAACAACUGGUCAGGCGGCUCCACCAGGCUUGUGUCGCGGACUCUGAUUGGACGGUGGACAGUAGUGCCUGGAGGAGCUGCCGAGAGAGCCACAGAAUGUUUGCUUAGGCAGGACUUGACUGCCGUAACCCAGGGCCCGGGUGAUUUAUGACAACCAAUUACCUGCCCUUGCCAGUGCCGCAUGGCUUUAUGGGAACGGUGGCGAACCACAGUGUACAUGGCUUGUCCUCCUGUAGGAUGUUCUGUCAACUUCAGCAGUCGCCAUGUCUCUUCCUGCGUUCCUAAGGAGCUGGAGUGGUCCUACAAGACUGGAAGGGACCCCCUUCAUUCGUCUGCCGCACAUAGGGACGAAAUUUCGUCUGGGUGGAGACGCUGGUGUUCCCGCAGGUUGGCCAGUACUUGCUGCACGUGAAUGCCAGCAACCAGUAUGGCUGGGAUAGUCGGUCCCUGCGCGUGGUGGCGGUGGACAGAAGACUGGGUCAGGCACGCCUCACGCUGCAGGACGCCGC